rnacentral:rRNA from 1 species
CCUACGGGAGGCAGCAGUGAGGAAUAUUGGUCAAUGGACGAGAGUCUGAACCAGCCAAGUAGCGUGAAGGAUGACUGCCCUAUGGGUUGUAAACUUCUUUUAUAUGGGAAUAAAAUGUUCCACGUGUGGGAUUUUGUAUGUACCAUAUGAAUAAGGAUCGGCUAACUCCGUGCCAGCAGCCGCGGUAAUACGGAGGAUCCGCGCGUUAUCCGGAUUUAUUGGGGUUAAAGGGAGCGUAGGUGGAUUGUUAAGUCAGUUGUGAAAGUUUGCGGCUCAACCGUAAAAUUGCAGUUGAAACUGGCAGUCUUGAGUACAGUAGAGGUGGGCGGAAUUCGUGGUGUAGCGGUGAAAUGCUUAGAUAUCACGAAGAACUCCGAUUGCGAAGGCAGUUCACUGGACUGCAACUGACACUGAGGCUCGAAAGUGUGGGUAUCAAACAGGAUUAGAUACCCUUGUAGUC